rnacentral:rRNA from 1 species
GAUGAACGCUGGCGGCGUGCCUAAUACAUGCAAGUCGAGCGAACGGACGAGAAGCUUGCUUCUCUGAUGUUAGCGGCGGACGGGUGAGUAACACGUGGAUAACCUACCUAUAAGACUGGUAUAACUUCGGGAAACCGGAGCUAAUCCCGGAUAAUCUUUUGAACCGCAUGGUUCAAAAGUGAAAGACGGUCUUGCUGUCGCUGGUAGGUGGAUCCGAGCUGCAUUAGCUAGUUGGUAAGGUAACGGCUUACCAAGGCAGCGGUGCGUAGCCGGCCUGAGAGGGUGACCGGGCACGAGGGGACGGAGAUACGGCACAGAGUCCUACGGGAGGCAGCGGUGGGGAAUAUUGCACAAUGGGCGGAAGCAUGAUGCAGCAACGGCGCGUGCGGGAUGACGGCCUUCGGGUUGUAAACCGAUUUCGCGUGUGAAGAAGCGUGAGUGACGGUAAUGGGUAAAGAAGCACGGGCUAACUACGUG